CUCACUCAGCUCAACAGAAGCACCCUACCACCGUCGUUGUUGUGAAGUUAUCUGCUUGCUGGGCUACAAACAAAGCCAAAAAGAACAACAAAAGCAGUUGAGGUUAAUUAUAUAGCGUUAGUCUUAAAAAAGGUGCAUGUCCUAAUUUUGGAAAACGUCACUGCAGAGAAAGAGCAACUGACGCUCGACCAAAGUAAACUUUCCAAAUUAACGUUACUCCAAUUAGCAUCACCUGUGUCGUUCAGGGCGAUGUGCUAUUUUCAUGGCCUGUAUACAUUUCUACAUGAAACUGUUGAUUCCCCCAAGAGGUCAACAUGCUCGAGAUCCAAUUAGGUUACUACAUAUGAAAGGGAUGUCAAAUACAUUUGGAAGGUACAAGGGACAUAAGGUGAUGAGAUGGACAGUGUUUGGUGAUGCUACAAGGUGACAGUUCCAUGGAUACCCGACUGAAAGGAUGGAAGGGCUUGGAGAAGGCCGCCCCCUGCCGCCACUGAGGACAACUACACUAAUACAGACAAGAGCGCCUCAACAGUUACACACUCAAGAGUUAGGGUUUUGUCGUAUGCAACUAGCUACCAUCUCCAACGCUUGUGCAAAACAGAAAAGAAAACUGCUAAGUCAGGAGCUGGACACAAGGGUGAACGGUGUGCCGAGAGCUGGAGACACCCUGGACGAUGGAAAGAGGAAGGAGGAUCGGAUCACCUCGCCCACAGAGCCUCUCACCUCGACACACUGAGCAGGGGGACUGAAGUAUGCCAAUAUGGCCAGCUUUCAAGCAUCGCCCCUUGAAGCUCUCCCUGUGGUGAAGCUGAGGGAUCCCCCGCAUUGCACUGUGGGAAAUGCCGACUUCAGCUCCGAACCACCCUUCAGAUAUCUUAAGUGCGCCCUGGGAAGUGCGGUCCUCAGCUCUCCAGACUCAUGAAGGCCACCACCUGCUCCAGCUUGAAGGCCAGCCUCUGUUUCCGGGCUGCAUCGUCCUGCUCCAGUGAACACACAAUCUGCCAGCAGGACAGUGAGCUGCAGCCGCUCGAGGACAGGCCCGGUCUUUGGCUGGAUAAUUCUGGGCAUGUGUGAAGGAGAGAUGGAUUUGCCAGGAAGCAAGUCUUUAGAGCAAAUUGAGCAAAGGAAAAGGCAGAUUCUGUAGAAUUUUUACUGCUGUAGCAGUGAGAUCAUCCUCACCAACUGCAUCACAGUAGGGAGGUGAAAACUGGCCAACGAAUCAUCGGUUCUCCACUUCCUGCCAUCGAGAAGCACUGAAGAAGCAUCAGCAGAGAUUUCCUUCCUGAGACACAGGUUUCCAUUAGCCUACUCUCUAGGUAAGAAUGUCUUUUCUUUAAGCUGCAGCAUAAAGGAGAGCGAGGAGGAGGACAUCUCUUCCUCUACAGUGUUAACUUCCCUUUGCAGCCUUCUUUCAUAGCUGCAGAAUUCUGCCUUUAAAAUCCUCUUCCUGUCAUGACCCUUACUUUGGCAUGGUUGGACAGCAGAGUGAAGCAGAACCAGAUCAACCCUUAGUCAUUCACUACUAUAUGACGGAGGCUUUUCCAACUGAAUAAAAAAAUAAUAAAAUCUGUGUAUUACUAGGGCGCCUGGGUAGUAGCUCACCUGGUAUAGCGUGUGUCCAUAUAUAGAGGUUUACUCCUCAAUGCAGCGCCCGUGGGUUCGACUCCAACCUGUGGCCGUUUGCUGCAUGUAAUUUCCCCUCUCUCCCCUUUCAUGUCUUCAGCUGUCCUAUAAAAAUAAAGGCCUAAAAAGCCCCAAUACAGGCUUACAUUUCUGCUUGGGCAGCUCCCUACAGUAGCUAAAUUCUCUGUCCACACUGAUUGUUUUUGCAUUUGCAUACCUUCUUACAUUAUCCAAACAUAUCCAUGCAAUUUCCUCACACUUAUUUGUGUUUUUGGGAGACCAGUGACACUAACCCACACAGGACUAAUGGGUACAGUCCUGAGCCUGAAGCUCCCCAUUUGGUUCCACCCAUUCAAGCAGUGCACAUAUAUUCUCGUCCCGAGGUUUGCCUUGUGACGAAGCUACCAACACAAAUACUCUGAACUGCUUCAC